UACGGAGGGAGCUAGCGUUGUUCGGAAUUACUGGGCGUAAAGCGCGCGUAGGCGGCUUUGUAAGUUAGAGGUGAAAGCCCGGGGCUCAACCCCGGAAUUGCCUUUAAGACUGCAUCGCUUGAAUCCGGGAGAGGUGAGUGGAAUUCCGAGUGUAGAGGUGAAAUUCGUAGAUAUUCGGAAGAACACCAGUGGCGAAGGCGGCUCACUGGACCGGCAUUGACGCUGAGGGUGCGAAAGCGUGGGGGAGCAAAACAGG
rnacentral:rRNA from 1 species